CAGAUUGAAAUUCAAAUCUCUGUUUAAAUAUUUUGAUAUGUUGAAUUUUUAGGAACUUUUUGUUUAGAAUUAUGCUAAUGUUAUGUUUUCUUCUAGACCUAAUAUUUUUAGGCCCUAGCUUCUUAACUCAAAAACCUAAGGAUUUUCUUUGAAAAUCAGUAUUUCGAUGUUUUGCUACCUUUGAAAUACUGUUCUUUAGCUGUGGAUUUAUUUAAAUCAUGCAUUAAGAAAUAAUACAAAAUGCUGUAACAGUUGUUUUGAAUGCUAGAUAGACCCUCUUGAAGCACUUUCAAGCUGAUAGUGAGGACAUGCUUUCCUAGAUAGUAUAAAGCAUAUCUAUUACACACCUUCCAUUAUUUUUCAAAAGAGGUUACAGUGCAGCCAGUGGCCAUGGCAGGCUUAAACUAGAAAAUCAAUUAGGAUUGGUCAGGGAAUCUUGCUUUUGAUUGGAUCUGUAUCUAUAGGAGCUGUGUGAAAUGAUGCCAAAUUAUUUAUUGGAAAAAGUUACAAAUGGCAAUAUCCUGCACAGAUGUUUAGUUAAUUUUGUUAUAAGAAAGGUUCAAAAUAUUAAUUACUUUUUAUCAAAAUGUUUUGGUAUUUGUUAUGGGAAAAAUGAUGAUAAGGUUAGGUGUCAUUUUCAGUAUCAAUCAUUGGCCUCUCUUGCUAUGUUUGCACUUUUUUGCCUAACUUUGGGACAGUUUCUUUUUUUGAACCUCAGGGUAAGUAUGAAUUUUGAAAUAAUUUUCCUUGUCAAAGCUUAUGCAUUUUGUUGAGAAGUAGGAGUGAAGAUUCAUAUUCAAGCUAUUCCUAGGAAUCUUUGUCUUCCAAAGCUCAUUUUCACUUCCAUUUUCACCUCCACAUAAUUAAUUGAUAUUUGCAUUGAAUUUUAAGAAAUUGUUAGAACAGAUUACUACGGUGAUCACUGCCUGAUGCUUUUAAUUUCUUUAAACAGUUCAACAUUUUGACAAUAUAUGUAUAUUUUUGUUAUUCAAACUGAAUUUGAAUUCACAGUAAUUAACAAAUUUUUUUUUCAUUGCAGAUUUCUAAUCUUGACUUUGCCUUCCUGCUGGUUUGAUGUCUUGCUUUGGUCCAACAAUUUCACUGCA